AUGUUCUUCUUCAUCCGCUCCAGGUGGGCGCUGGUGUCCUGCUCCUUCUUCAGCUCCUCAGCCAUCAUGGCUGCAUCAGUGAUGGCCUUCUUGGCUUUCUCUUCUGCGUUGCGAGCUUCCUGGACAAUGUCCUCCAUCUCUCCCUGGAUUUGUGUGAUGUCUGUCUCUAGCUUCUUCUUGGUGUUGAUCAGGCUAGUGUUCUGUUUCAAAUUAGUAAAAAAGAAGACAAGGUCAUUUAAUUGUAUUAUACCUAUUUACAUUGUUAUUUUUACUAGGCAUAAAAUUAUUGAUCAUAAGAAAUAUUCAGAAUAAAAACCAAAUCAAAGGUAGACUCUAAGUUUCACUUCCCUUCUUUCUACCUACUAUGUCUAUUAAUAAAAAUUCUUUUAGAUUCUUCCAGAUGAAAAUUAAUUUUGGAUACCAAGCAUAUUCAACUAUUAUCAGUGGCUGCUGUAAGUAUGAAGCACGACCACUGCCCCAGGAAAAAAUAUGAAGUGCUGCAGGUAGCAUCGCAUAGCUCAUGAUGAAUGGAUUAUUAAUUUUUAGUUGUUUAUUCACAUUUGUUGGCUCUAUAUGGAUAAAUAGCAUCAUUAUUGGUACAAAAAUGAACCAAGGAUCUCUUACAUUUUUAGAAAGUUGACAGUAUUUGAAAUAUACAGUCAAUUUAGGGAUACUAAUGAUGAGUAACAAAAAUACUGCAUUUUAACUUGAUUUUAAAAUUAUUUUGUAGUAUGUGAUUUUAACUUUUCAUGAUGGCUAUUUCCAUAUAUUGCAACUUUAAGGAAGUCUACAAUAAUAUAUGCUUAUUGUAAAAAAAAAUAGUUGACAUAUAAAUUAGCAAAAAAGAGACAAAGAAUAAUUACUAUAUUCUUACUACCCAGAGAUAACUGUUGAUAAAACCUUUGUUUACACUUCUGGAUGUUUUCUGGGUAUUUUUAAAAGAAAGGAUAAUGCUUUCUAUAUGAUUAAAUUGCUUUUUUAACUUAUUAUAUUGUGAAUAUCUUUCCAUGACAUUUAUUACAUGAAUAUUAAGUGCUGCUUAUUAGCCAUUGUGAGGAUAUAACCACCACUGAUUUCACAAAUCCAUUAUAAACAACAAAUGCUGACUAGCAUUUGAAAUGUGGCCUUCUUGCAUUUGAUUUAUCUGUUUGCAGCUUAGACUUACAAGAUAAGAUGGGUUACUGAUGUUGUAAAUAUUAUUAAUAGAGGGCCUUUUGUGCUUUUUUUAAACAGAAGUUUCUAGAACAGUAAAUUAUUUCAAAUCAACAUGAUUAAGCCAGCCUAUAAAUGUAUUUGUGAAUCUGCUGGACCCCAGUGCAUAUUUACUGCUGUGCAUUUUCCUGAACUCCUUGCCAAGGUUCCUCCUUACUGUUGAACAAGCUUAUCCUCUGCAAUGGUCUUCAGCUUCAGGGAGUGCAUUUGCUCAACCAUAGUCCCAAACCUCACCUGUGUGUGCAAGAGCUGCACACGCUCACUGGCGUCCAAAAGCUCUUGCUCUGCUACUCGCCUGCUCCUCUCUGUCUGUUCCAGUGAUGCCCUCAGUUCUUCAAUCUCAGCCUGCAUCAGGUUGGCUCUGCGCUCAACCAUGGCCAGCUGCUCCUUAAGGUCAUCCUGGCCCCUGAUGGCAUCAUCCAAGUGGAGCUGAGUGUCCUGCGCAGAUGGAGCAAAGGGCUCUUACUGAUGCUCCAGUUAAAGCAAAUACUACUUUAGGGUCACGUACACACAUUGAUCUUGACAACUGAGUGCAUGAUUGGACAGGAAAAAUCCUCAAGUCUCUUUAAAGACAAAUUCUUUGUAGCUUGGGUGGCAGUUCUACCCAAGCACGUGAUGUUAU
ensembl:lincRNA